GAUGACCUGUGGCUGGGGGUGAAAGGCCAAUCAAACCGGGAGAUAGCUGGUUCUCCCCGAAAGCUAUUUAGGUAGCGCCUCGUGAACUCAUCUCCGGGGGUAGAGCACUGUUUCGGCUAGGGGGCCAUCCCGGCUUACCAACCCGAUGCAAACUGCGAAUACCGGAGAAUGUUAUCACGGGAGACACACGGCGGGUGCUAACGUCCGUCGUGAAGAGGGAAACAACCCAGACCGCCAGCUAAGGUCCCAAAGUCAUGGUUAAGUGGGAAACGAUGUGGGAAGGCCCAGACAGCCAGGAUGUUGGCUUAGAAGCAGCCAUCAUUAAAGAAAGCGUAAUAGCUCACUGGUCGAGUCGGCCUGCGCGGAAGAUGUAACGGGGCUAAACCAUGCACCGAAGCUGCGGCAGCGAACGUAUCACUAAAACGAUUCAGAAGCUUACGAUUGACGGAGCGAAGCGACGUCAAAGCGUAUACAAAGUCGAGUCGGUUUAAGGAUACGUUCGUUGGGUAGGGGAGCGUUCUGUAAGCCUGCGAAGGUGGCCUGUGAGGGUUGCUGGAGGUAUCAGAAGUGCGAAUGCUGACAUAAGUAACGAUAAAGCGG
rnacentral:rRNA from 1 species